GGAGAGAUGGCCGAGUGGUUGAAGGCGUAGCAUUGGAACUGCUAUNGAGUAAUUCUUUGACCAAGCAAGUCUGACCA
rnacentral:tRNA from 1 species